rnacentral:misc_RNA from 1 species
GACAGAUCUUCCAAUACCUCUCCAUUAUCUGCAGUCACGGGCGAAAUGCCAUCCUCUGUGAUCGAAUAUGGCAGGAUGAUUCCCUCAGUGUCUUCUUUGCUGUCUCUGUUUCCACCUCCUUUAUGCUUUUGAGAAACGUUUACCAUGAGGUGGUUCCAAAGAAGCUCGACUCGUUCUUGGCCUCAAAAUUGAGAAACUAUUUCUGUCGUAGAAAAGUUGCAGCCUUCUUAUGAAAUUUUCGUCGUUGACGACUCAUGGGAAGGUCUCUCGAGUAACAAGCUUAUUGAUAUAUCAACAUUUUAUCUUUCCACCAAGAUUGGCCACAAGAACAAGACCAUCAAGAUUGGCAAGUUCAAAGGACGUAAGGGCGUAAUGGCUGGCCUGAUGAAGGAAGAGGAGAUUGUCGACAUCUUUGAGGGUAUAGAAAUUACUUGGUAUUUUGAUUGCCGAAAGGAAGAAGAUGGGGGAAAUGAAUAUUUUGAGUUGCGUUUUGAAGGUAAAUACAGGGAAAAGGUAUUCAAUGAGUAUUUGGAUCAUGUCAUUCGUACCCAUAAAGCCAUGACUAAAGAAAAUAAGUUUUUGAGGAUCUACUCUAGGAAAUCAUAUUGUGGGUGGAGUUGGAUCGAUUUUCAACAUGCAGCCACAUUCGACACGCUGGCCAUGGAUAAUGAGUUGAAGAAGGUCAUCAUGGAUGAUUUAGACAGGUUCUUAGCCAGGAAAGACUACUACAAGAAAAUUGGCAGGGCCUGGAAACGUGGUUAUUUAUUGUAUGGCCCUCCUGGAACUGGGAAAUCAAGC